rnacentral:rRNA from 1 species
UACGUAGGGUGCAAGCGUUGUCCGGAAUUAUUGGGCGUAAAGAGCUCGUAGGCGGCUUGUCACGUCGGGUGUGAAAGCCCCGGGGCUUAACCCCGGGUCUGCAUUCGAUACGGGCAGGCUAGAGUGUGGUAGGGGAGAUCGGAAUUCCUGGUGUAGCGGUGAAAUGCGCAGAUAUCAGGAGGAACACCGGUGGCGAAGGCGGAUCUCUGGGCCAUUACUGACGCUGAGGAGCGAAAGCGUGGGGAGCGAACAGG